AUAAUCACAUAGAAACUUAGGUUAUAAAAACCAAGGGCCUUCAAAGCCCUAAAAAGGGUUU
rnacentral:tRNA from 1 species